CCGUAAACGAUGGACACUAGAAUGUUGGCCUCUUCGGGGGUCGGUGUUCGUAGCUAACGCGUUAAGUGUCCGCUGGGAAGUACGCUCGCAAGAAGUGAAACUCAAAGGAAUUGACGGGGGCCCGCACAAGCGGUGGAGCAUGUGCUUUAAUUCGAUGCAACGCGAAGAACUUUACCUGGACUUGACAUGGGGGUGAAAGUUUUCAGAGAUGAAAACCCUUCCUUCGGGAACGCCCUACACAGGUGCUGCAUGGUUGUCGUCAGCUCGUGUCGUGAGAUGUUGGGUUAAGUCCCGCAACGAGCGCAACCCUUGUCCUUAGUUGCCAGCGGGUCAUGCCGGGAACUCUAGGGAGACUGCCUGGUACAACCAGGAGGAAGGUGGGGAUGACGUCAAAUCAUCAUGGCCCUUACGUCCAGGGCUAGACACGUGCUACAAUGGCCGGUACAGAGGGCUGCAAGACUGCGAAGUCAAGCCAAUCCCUAAAAACCGGUCUCAGUUCGGAUUGGAGUCUGCAAUUCGACUCCAUGAAGGUGGAAUCGCUAGUAAUCGCGGAUCAGCAUGCCGCGGUGAAUACGUUCCCGGGCCUUGUACACACCGCCCGUCAAGCCACGAAAGAUGGCAGUGCCCGAAGUCGCUACUCUAACCCUCACGGGAGGAGAGCGCCGAAGGUAAGGCUGUUGAUUGGGGCUAAGUCGUAACAAGGUAACCCAAGGG
rnacentral:rRNA from 1 species